CUAAGAGGCCUGCAAGAACCGGAUGCCAGCGACGAUUAGGGGUGGUCAGCAGAAACUGUGGCGAGAGACGUACCGAAGGCAUGCAUCAGUACUUUUCCAGAGAUAAAGAAAUGCUAUAAAAAGCUUGUAAUACCGUACAUAGGGACCGCACUUUACUAAUGCGUUGGUCCCUGCGCAGGUAAUUAAAGGACCCUCCAACUCUCCAGGCUGGUGUCCAGUGGUCUCAUUCCGGCUCGCUACAACAAUAAGCAAGCACAGGUGGCAAUGAUGGGAAGGAGAAGGAGCAGAUAUCACUGCCUACCAGAUGGUCCUGGAAGUCUGCCUGAAGUACGGAGUGAAUCUGACCACUACUCUUUGUGGGCAUCCCAGGGUCAUCCUGACACAAGUUCUGAAGAUGAUGACCUUGAAGACUCGGAGAUGGGAGUUUUGGAAACCCGGGGAGAGGCACAGGCCUCUGAAGUGCCUUCAAGGUCGCUGCCUACAGCUUCUGAGGCUGAUCAGAAGAGCAAGAUUGUUUCAGAAGGGAUGGGAGGAGCUGAAGAAGGGGAACAGGGAGAGCCAUUGCCAUGCCUGGUCCCUGACUCCACAAUAAGGCAUUGGAGAGAUGAGUUGCCCAGUUAAAGAGUUUGUGUGGGUCUCACUGGCUGGCCCUUCACAAGCAGGACCACCCUGAAGGUGGAGGCCUCAGAGUUACUGAAAAGGAAGGAUUUGGGGGAGAAGUCCCCAGUUUGGGCUCAGCAUUCUUGACAUGAGCAGAGUCUAAUCUUCCAACUCACUAGAGUUUAGAGUUUAGGUGUGAAGUGCCAAUGAGGAUUGCCAUUGAAAAAAGACUAUCUGAUGUUUCGUAGCUGAAGGGCAAGAAGGUGAGGACCUGUCGAGCAAGUGAGAAAUGGGGAGGAAGAGGAGAAGCAAAAGCAGCUGGUGUAGUGGCAGUGAGAGGGCAGACUCGGCAAGCAAGGGUCUUGCCCAUGGCCCUUCCAAAACUGGGAACCAGCACUGAUCUCAUUUCCAGAUCACAUGCUACCCUUACUUAUAAGUUACCAUGUGAAAUCAGUCCCCAUUUUGUAUAUUGGAGAUCAGGAAGGCUGCCCCAUACCAGUUGUCCCCACAGUCAGGGAAAUGUGGGGGACUUGAAAUACUGGCCUGCCACCUGCCUUGAAUCCACACUUUAGCAAGGACUCAGCAGCAGCUGUAAGUUACACAUCUGGCCUUCACGGGAACCACUCUUACCGGAGAAGAGAACAGUGGUGGCAUCUGAACUUCCGUUCUUCGUGGGGUUAAGGUUUCAUAACAGUUACAAAGCACAGUGAAGAUUGCUGCAGCUGAGACAGCAAAGGAAAGAAAGAGCUGGGCAUGUACGUCUUUCCAGCACAAGGCUGCUGUGAAUGAAUAUGUACAGCUGGGCUGUGUCCUAGCCCUGUUAAUAUAUAAAGAAUUUACCUGAACCACUGGCAUGCUUUGCAAUAGGUCUUUCAGUUUCUGGCACACUGUGCCAGAUUUCCCAAGUGUGGCAUCCUCUGGACAGGUUGGAUUGCCCUCUCAUGAAGGCUUCUUUUCCCUCAACCAGACGUUCCAGAUGGCUGCAACGCAGAGUGAGAGACGAAGAAGGACCAUUCCGCCAGCUGCAAGAUGCUUUGAUUUCCCCCUCCCCCUUUUCCACCUGCUUUUCCUUGCAUGCCAUGCCUUUUAGGUAGGAGCCGUCUACUUGAUGGUUUUUAAGCUGCUUGCAGGAGCAUUUUAAAUUGAGAAAUCAGAUAAAAAUACUGGAAAUAAAAUAAACUGCCAUAGUUUGCA